UAUGAUCCUGUUUCAUGAAUUUAAGAGGUGAUGUUAUGCGCAUGAAAAGUAAUGUUUCGGCCUCCCGCCCUCUCUUCACGUGACGGGCAGGUAGAGGACCAGUAGAGUGCCGUAAGCGUGCAACAGGUUGAAAUAAACGGUAUCAUGUGACUAGUAAUGUUUGACUACAACGGCCCACGCUUCCCUCUCUUUAUGUGACGGGCAGAUAGAGGACCAGUAGAGUGCAGUAAGCGUGCAACAGGUUGAAAGAAACGGUAUCAUGUGACUGGUAAUAUUUGACCAUAACGGCCCACGCUUCCCUAUCUUGAUGUGACGGGCAAGUCAGAGAAACCGGAUUUACGAUAGACUGACAUAAAUUCAUACGUCGAAAUGCAUUUACGAUCAAGCCCUUCCUCUCGAUUUGAACUUCAAGACAAGUCAGUGUCACAUUUUAUAUGGUAAAGACAGACUCUUGUGCUCAAGAUCCUGGCGGAUAUACUGCAUGAUUGGUAAUAAAAAACAUACAAAUACUUGAUGAUGUUGGAACUGAAUGACUGAACAUAUUGUACUAUAGUAUAUCAAAAAUAAAAAUGUCAGAAUUUCCGUUAUUUCCAUUGGCUAUCAAUAUCUACUCGACCAUGAUAGAUAUAUGUCAAAUGUUAGGAGUGUCUUGUCACAUGACCACGAAAUACCUUAAUAAAGCGAAAUGAAUACUUAAAACGAAUAAAAAAUAUAGUUGCUUAA